GAAACGAGGAAGUCAGAGCCGUGGGCCAGGGUGUGCUGCGAGCGCUGGAGAGCCGGCAGCCUGAGGGGCCCAGCCUCAGACACCUCCUCCCCGUCAUGGCCAAGGUCGUGGUCCUCAGCCCGGGCAUCCUCCAGGAGGGUACGUGGGGCCCCUCCUAAGAGGCUGUUGGGGGUCUGCCUUCGCAGGUCCUUCCCUGAGGGCCCAUGGUGGGUUGGGGGGGAGGGGGCACGGGGAGGCCCGAGGGCCUGGGACACUACAGGAUUCUGUUUUCUGAGAAAAAUCAGCCAGCAUCCCAACGACCCAGGCAUCCGUAGGAUUUAACCUCACCUCCCCAUGCCACCCCACCCACUGCAGACCAGGCCACCCUGCUCAGCAAGCGGCUGGUCGACUGGCUGCGCUAUGCCAGCCUCCAGCAAGGGCUCCCGCACUCCGGCAGCUUCUUCUCCACGCCCAGGGCCCGGCAGCCGGGCCCCAUCACCGAGGUGGACGGGGCGGUGGCCACAGACUUCUUCACGGUGCUCUCCACCGGCCACCGCUUCACAGAAGACCAGUGGCUGAACGUGCAGGCCUUCUCCAUGCUGCGGGCGUGGCUGCUGCACAGCGGCCCCGAGGGCCCAGGCACCCUGGACACAGAUGACAGGUCAGAGCAGGAGGGCUCCACGCUGUCGGUGAUCUCUGCCACCUCCUCCUCUGCUGGCCGCCUGCUGCCGCCCCGGGAGCGGCUUCGGGAGGUGGCCUUUGAGUACUGCCAGCGCCUCAUUGAGCAAAGUAACCGAC
rnacentral:sRNA from 1 species